rnacentral:rRNA from 1 species
UCGAGAAUUUUUCACAAUGGGCGAAAGCCUGAUGGAGCGACGCCGCGUGGGGGAUGAAUGGCUUCGGCCCGUAAACCCCUGUCAUUUGCGAUCAAACCUCACAACUUAAUACGUCGUGAGUUGAUAGUAGCAAAAGAGGAAGGGACGGCUAACUCUGUGCCAGCAGCCGCGGUAAUACAGAGGUCCCAAGCGUUGUUCGGAUUCACUGGGCGUAAAGGGUGCGUAGGCGGUCGGGUAAGUCUGACGUGAAAUCCUGGAGCUUAACUCCGGAACUGCGUCGGAAACUAUUCGGCUAGAGGAUUGGAAGGGGGACUGGAAUUCUCGGUGUAGCAGUGAAAUGCGUAGAUAUCGAGAGGAACACCAGUGGCGAAGGCGAGUCUCUGGACAGUCCCUGACACUGAGGCACGAAAGCUAGGGGAGCAAACA